UACGAAGGGGGCUAGCGUUGCUCGGAAUCACUGGGCGUAAAGCGCACGUAGGCGGCUUUUUAAGUCAGAGGUGAAAUCCUGGAGCUCAACUCCAGAACUGCCUUUGAUACUGGAGUGCUUGAGUCCGGGAGAGGUGAGUGGAACUGCGAGUGUAGAGGUGAAAUUCGUAGAUAUUCGCAAGAACACCAAGUGGCGAAGGCGGCUCACUGGCCCGGUACUGACGCUGAGGUGCGAAAGCGUGGGGAGCAACAGGG
rnacentral:rRNA from 1 species